GCAAGAGAGUAGGAAGUAGAUUUAUUGUAUUCAGCUUUAUAUCUUGAGUACAACAUACAACCUGGUUUAGAGAAAGGUCAUUUUUACUUACAUCUUACAUAUAAUAAUGAUAAGCAAAUAAAAUAUACCCUUUAUUCUCUAAUCAGGUUGCACAGUCAGGCUAGGAAUUUCAUAUUAAAGAAUGAACACAUACAGGAAGUUCCUAUAGUAAAAGUUUAAUGAACAACACAAAAUAAUGGAUUGAGUAAAUAUAAGGAACAUGUUUUAUUACACUAACCACAGUGUAAAGGUGCACAUGACGUUAUAUGAACAAAAAUAAUUUAAAUCUUAUGAAUAGUUAAAUAAAUAUUUAAAUAGAUAAAUCAGUUUAUCAGCAUGGUCAUAGUUAUAGCAGGGGUGAGAGUCUUUGAAAUGACAGAAUUCAUGAAAGCGUGACCUGGUGUAUGAGUCAAUAAGAAUUGUUUUCAUGUUGGACCAGAUGUUAUUCCUUCCUCCUUAAUCUUUCUUGCAAGUUUGUUGAUAAAGAGAGGGAUCUCAUGAUUUCUGCUCUGACAACCUCCCAGGCACAAGGGCUGUAUUUCUUCUCUGUCAGAUAGAGAGUGAUUCUUCGGAAGUAUUUCUUCACAGCCAAGAUGGAGUCCGCAUUCAUCAGGGGAGUUUCUCCCACCCUCUCCUCCUGCAUCACACAGGCUUCCAAGUCAUUCAGCUGCUGGUAGAGUUCGGUGCAGAAUUUGUCUAGGAGGUCCUCAUCCCAAGCAGCAGAUGAAUCUUUUGUGGUAAAGAGGUUGAAGAUCUGCUGGAUCAGCUCAUGGAGGACAGAGAUGGCUGGAGCCUUCUGGAACUGGUUGCCAUCAAACUCCUCCUGGGGAAAUCCAAAGUCAUGUCUGUCCAUCAGACAGGAGGAAGGAGAGAUUCUGCUCAUUUGUGCCAGGAGCAUCAAGGUCCUCCUGUUAUCCAGGCUGUGGGUCUCAGGGAGAUCACAGCCCAGAGAGCAGCUUGACUUGCAGCUGAGCACCACCAGGACCAUCAGUAAAGCAAAGGGCGAGGCCAUCGUAGAUAUUGCAGAUACUUCUGGGCUUGCUGAGAUGGGUGACUCUGAACCUUGGGCUCUAGGUUCU
rnacentral:antisense_RNA from 1 species